AUGGAGCUCACCGCUCACGCUCUCCUCCUCCCUCUGGUGCUUGCGGCGCUCCUCCACCCCACCACGGCCACUAUUGACGAUGCCACACCAGGCCUCAGCGGCGGAUUCAGCCUGCGCUUGGUUCCCAGCCUCAGCUGGAACAAUACCAUCCAUGUCGACGACGACGGCUUCCUUCACCUGAAGGAGCUAGUUGGGCACGACACUACCGCGCUUCGACCGCAUGUACGCUUUCUCCCAGGGAGGUACAACAUUGUCACCACUGUUGGGACGGGCCAUGGCCGCCGCACGUACACCCUCGCGAUGGAGAUGACAAGCAGCCUGACAUGGAUGCAGUGCGUGCCGAUCCAAUGCCCAUUUCAGCAGGAUCCGCCGCCCUUCCACCCGCGAAUGUCGCCGUCAUUCCGCCACCUCGCACCCACAAGCCGCCUUUGUUCACCCCGGGGCACGACGUGUGCAAGUUCCAUGUCACCCCCAUCCGCCCUGGUGGCGCACAUGCAAGCGGCGUGCUCAGUGACGAGACCCUAUCCUUCACGGGAUCUGCGCCGGUGGUCUUUCCCACCGUCAUCAUUGGCUGCGCGCACAGCAGCACGGGUUUCGUCAGCCACGGAGUGCUUGCCGGCGUCCUCGGCCUGGGCAAGACGUAUCCGUCGCUCGUCCCGGUGUUACUCCAACGGCACGGCUUACAUCGCUUCUCCUACUGCCUCUUCGUGCCUGGGUCGGCGAACCGGCACGGCUUCCUCCGGUUCGGCAACGGCAUCCCGGUGGACACGAGGCGCAUGA
rnacentral:rRNA from 1 species